CGCUUUUAUCCAAAGUGACUUACAAUAAGCGCAUUCAUCCAUGUGGGUAUAACCCAAAAAGUGCAAGAAUCAUGCGAGUACAUGAACUUCAUCAAAUAUACUGAACUACUUCAAGUGCUACAUUUAUUUAGAGACAAUAGAAAAUAAAGCAAUGGAUUUUUUUU